GACUUGCCUAGUUAAAUAAAGGUAAAACAAAAAUAAAUAAAAAUUAAAUUGUUCAACCAUUCAAUUAUUCUCAAUGGUAAUUAGUAUGUCUUCAGAUAAAUAGGUGAGCAUACUGAGUAUGCCUCCAUAUAGCCACCACUACACCUGCACCACUGGGUGAGAUUGAAGUUGUCUGUGUUAACAGUGACACUACACAUAUAAGCAGGCACAGCACUUCUGCCAUUCCCUGCCUUGCAUGGUAUGACUUUGUAUAUACUAGAGAUCUCAAACUACAUUUUGGACCUUGAAACCAGUUCCACUGCCUUUUUUAAUGUUUCCCUCUAAUGAGUGACUGAUUUAUACCUGGGAAACCAGGAGGGUACAAUGAAUUAUCAGGUGGAACAGAAGACCAACAAGCUCCGGACCUCGUAGGAAUAUUAUUUCUCCAUAGAGAUGCUGGAUACAGAAUUACAGUACCUUACGAACCCUCACAUCCUACACAUGUUCAGUAGAGAAGAACAUCAACAGACAUGGAGCUGUUGAAGCAGCUAGACCACAUCCUACAGACACUUCUGCCCAGAUGCAAAAAGAGUCUGGUAAGCUAACGCCUCAAACUGUGUUCAGAAGGAGCUGGGGUGCAGACAGCAGACAACAGAUGUUUGGGGGUCGAAGUAGAGGUGUUUGGGGUGGAGAGGACGGUGGACUCAGUGGACGACAUCCCAGCCAUUUACCUGAUGGGUAAGUUGACAUCACUUCUACUUAUACAAUCAAUCAAACAAAUUUCAAUGGCUUUUUUUACCCACCAGCAGAUGUCACAAAGUGCUUUUACAGUAACCCGGCCUACACCAGGGGAACCCGGGACAUACAGGGCACCACUGUUCCUUCCUCUCUUUCUCUCUGUGUAAUGACAUAUCCUGUUUAGGCACCUGGCCAGCUGAGUGCAGCUGGCUCUCCCGUCAACAUGAGGAUCCUGCUGCUCCAGCCCCAAAAACACAUAGGUACACAGACACACACACGCAGGAAUGCUAGCCUAUUUAAAUGUUUGUGUGUUGUGUGUCAGAGUUAAGGGAUAGUAAGACAGUCUUUGAUAAGAGGUGUCUGGUGUGGGAGGAGGACAUGGAGAUGCACUUCAAGUUUCUGGACAGAAAGGUGACAAAUUAGUCUUUCCUUACACCCUACCAUUACCCCCUACUCUCACCUAGCCCCUUACACUUAACCGCUAACCCCUACAUUUCCAACAUGACCUGAUGUGUGUGUUACAGGAAGAGUUGAAGGCGGAGCAUGCCUUGUACCUGCAGCAGCACCUGGAGCUCCUUGCCAUGAUGGCCAACUUCUUGCAGUUCCUUUCACCAUGAAAACUGAGCAAUGUCUUGUCUUGGACUUCUCCCCUUUUUCUUCCCACUUACCUCCAGGUGGCACAUUCAACACCUCUCCUUGUCAACACACUGGCUGGGUCUCAAUAGUCUGUUAGCUUCCUCUCACAGGCACUAUAGUGAGGACAAUACUCUUGUCAUUAUUAUGAACAUGAGGCCCUCGAUCAUCAAAUAUUAACGCUUUAAUGGAAGUUUUGUAUUUUAAUUGUGAGAAGUGUUUUACCGUUAUUGUUUGACUGAGCUUCACUGAAAACAAUUCCAAUCAACUCUGUUGAUAUGGCAAUCAACUCUGUUGAUAUGGCAAUCAACUCUGUUGAUAUGGCAAUCGCAAGAGUUAGUUACAGUGUGUCUUAUAUAUUUUCCAUGGUUGAUUUCUGUUAUGAACUUUGUGGUCAUUUUAGUAACUGCUACUUUGCUUUUGCUCUGAUGUGAUCACCCCAUAAAUUUGUAAGAAUUAAGUUACUAAUGCUAUUGUUUGGAUAACUUUACUGCCCUUAUUUCCUAGGAAAUGAUCAUGUAUACUCCUAAUACAUAUUAAUUCAUUACAAAACGGACAGCUGGCAAAGAUGUACAAUGAUUCAUAAAUGUACAGAACCCGCUGCAUGUACUAACAAGUCAAUGUGUUUAUUGUAACAUAAACAAAUUUAACAAAACAAACAAGUUCAAGUCAAACAACUUCACGUCAAGAAAAAAUAUAAUCAGUUCCAACAUUUGACACCCUUGAAAAAGAUCAGCGAAAAGGUGAAAACCUUCAAGUUCCUCUGUGUACAUAUGACAUGGUACGCCCACACAGUGUGGUCAAGGUGCAACAGCGCCUCUUCAACCAAUAGAGGCUGAAGAAAUUCGGCUUGGCCACUAAGACCCUCAAAAAUUUCUACAGAUGCACCAUUGAGAGCAUCCUGUCGGGAAAUGUAUCACUGCGUGGAACAGCAACUGCACCAUCUGCAACUGCAGGGCUCGCCAGAGGGUGAUGCUGUCUGCCCAAUGCAUCACUGGGGGCAUACUGCCUGCCCUCCAGGACAUUUACAGCACCUGCUGUCACAGGAAAGCCAAGAAGUUCAUCUAGGACCUCAGCCACCCGAGCCACAGCCUGUUAACCCCACUACCAUCCAGAAGGGGAGAUCAGUACAGGUCAUCAGACUGUUAAAUAGUCACCACUUGCCGGCCUCUGCCCAGAACAGUACCCUGCCCUGAACUUUAGUCGCUGUAACUAGCUGGCUACCACCCAGUUCCUCAACCCUGCACCUUAGAGGUUGCUGCCCCUAAGUACAUAGUCAUGGAACACUGGUCCCUUUAGUAUUGUUUACAUACUGUUUGACCCACAUAUGUAUAUACUGUAUUCUAGUUAUGUCCUAUCCUAUUUAACUCUUGCUGUACAUAUACCAUUCUAUCCUACGUAUUCUACAGAUACACUACAUAUUGUAUCCAUAAACUGUCCAUAAUGUCUAUACAUCCCAUCACAUACAGUGCCUUUGGAAAGUAUUCGGACCCCUUGACUUUUUCCAAAUUUUGUUAUUUU